rnacentral:rRNA from 1 species
GUUAAUCGGAAUUACUGGGCGUAAAGCGCGCGUAGGCGGUUUGAUAAGCUGGAUGUGAAAUCCCCGGGCUCAACCUGGGAACUGCAUCCAGAGCUGUUUGACUAGAGUACAGUAGAGGGUGGCGGAAUUUCCUGUGUAGCGGUGAAAUGCGUAGAUAUCGGGAAGAACACCAGUGGCGAAGGCGCUCUGCUGGGCCAUCACUGACGCUCAUGGACGAAAGCCAGGGGAGCGAAAGGGAUUAGAUACCCCUGUAGUCCUGGCCGUAAACGAUGAACACUAGGUGUCGGGGGAAUCGACCCCUCCGGUGUCGUAGCCAACGCGUUAAGUGUUCCGCCUGGGGAGUACGCACGCAAGUGUGAAACUCAAAGGAAUUGACGGGGGCCCGCACAAGCGGUGGAGCAUGUGGUUUAAUUCGAAGAUACGCGCAGAACCUUACCAACACUUGACAUGUUCGUCGCGACUCUAAGAGAUUAGAGUUUUCGGUUCGGCCGGACGAAACACAGGUGCUGCAUGGCU